rnacentral:rRNA from 1 species
CAGUCGUACCUGCGGAUAAUCAGCUUUUUGAGUGUGAUUAUGUGGUUUAUGAGGAGUUUAACCGCCUUCAUGUAUUGCAUAUUUGUGCUCUUGGGUGUACUUGUCUGUGUGGUAGGUUAACAUCAAUUUCGGACGCCAUAAAAUGGCUGGAGGAAUGUAGCUUCGAUCUCGUAUUGAAGUGUUAUAGCCUUCGGUAGAUGUGGGUGAUCGAGAUUGAGGAUUGCAACGGAUACCCUUCGGGGCUGCCUGUCUGGUCUCUGAUCGUUGCUCUGGUGCCGAAAGCUUGCUUACGGUUAU